AGAGUUUGAUCAUGGCUCAGGAUGAACGCUGGCGGCGUGCCUAACACAUGCAAGUCGAACGAGAAGCUAACCUCUGAUUCCUUCGGGAUGAUGAGGUUGGUAGAAAGUGGCGAACGGGUGAGUAACGCGUGGGUAAUCUACCCUGUUUAGUGGGGGAUAACCCUCCGAAAGGAGGGCUAAUACCGCAUAAUAUCUUCUCCUCCUAAGAAGAGAAGAUCAAAGAUGGCCUCUAUACUAUGCUAUCGCUUCAGGAUGAGCCUGCGUCCUAUUAGUUAGUUGGUGGGGUAAUGGCCUACCAAGACCACAAUGGGUAGCCGGUCUGAGAGGAUGUACGGCCACACUGGGACUGAGAUACGGCCCAGACUCCUACGGGAGGCAGC
rnacentral:rRNA from 1 species